CCCCGCGGGCCUCCCGAGGCAGCCCCGUGUUAGCUCGACCGGCUUCGAAGCCCGCGCGGGUUGCGGACCCUCCCCCGCGCCCACCUGUCAGCGCCUCGACCGGCCGGGGCUCCCGCCGCAUGCAAGCAGCGAGGCGAGGUCGCGCUGAGGCCUGGCCAUGCCACGGACAGCCGGGCCUCACCCUGCCGCUCUCCCGCCGUCCAGAGGCCCCUGGUCCACACCUGGGUACCCUGGGUCCUGACUCAGGGCAGCUGGGUGAGAAGCUAAGGGCCUGAGGGGACAGGGCUACAAGGGGAGUUUGUGCUGGGCCUGGCGUCCCAGGCUGUGGACUGGAACUGGACAUGAGAACCCCCCUACACCCUCCCAAGUCAAAGACACUCCAAAGA
rnacentral:antisense_RNA from 1 species